AGAGUUUGAUCCUGGCUCAGAGUGAACGCUGGCGGCGUGGAUUAGGCAUGCAAGUCGAACGAUACCGUAAGGUAUAGUGGCAAAAGGGUGAGUAACACGUGAGAAAUCUACCUUUGAGUGGGGAACAACCUUGGGAAACCGAGGCUAAAACCGCAUAAGACCACGACAGGGCAUCCUGUUGUGAUCAAAAGGGGGGACCGCAAGGCCUCUUGCUCGGAGAUGAUCUCGCGACCUAUCAGCUUGUUGGCGGGGUAACGGCCCACCAAGGCUUUUGACGGGUAGCUGGUCUGAGAGGAUGGUCAGCCACAUUGGGACUGAGACACUGCCCAGACUCCUACGGGAGGCUGCAGUCGAGGAUCUUUUGCAAUGCCCGAAAGGGUGACAAUGCGACGCCGCGUGUGCGAUGAAGGUUUUCGGAUCGUAAAGCACUGUCGACCGGGAUGAAUCUCUGGAGGAUUAAUAAUCCUUCCGGGUGACAGUACCGGUAGAGGAAGCCACGGCUAACUCCGUGCCAGCAGCCGCGGUAAUACGGAGGUGGCAAGCGUUACUCGGAUUGAUUGGGUGUAAAGGGUGUGU
rnacentral:rRNA from 1 species